CGUCCUGCCCAGUGAACUAAGGUUUCAACGGCCGCGGUAUACCUGACCGUGCAAAGGUAGCAUAAUCACUCGCCUUUUAAUUGUAGGCUCGUAUGAAUGGAUAAACGAGGGACCCCCUGUCUCGUUAAGACAAACUAUAAAUUAAUCUCCAGGUGAAGAAGCCUGGAUACCCUUAAAAGACAAGAAGACCCUAUAGAGUUUAAUUUACUUAAUACACAUUUUAAAAUAAUUAUAUUUAAAUUCAUAUUGAUAAAUUUAGUUGGGGCGACUAAGGAAUAAAACUACCUUCCUUAAACAAAAGAAUUAAUUCUACAGAAUGAUCCUCGAAAGAACACCAAAAUAAUAUUACCUUAGGGAUAACAGGCUAAUCUCCCCAGAGAGUCCAAAUUGACGGGGAGGGUUGGCACCUCGAUGUUGGCUUAAGACAACUCUUAAAUGCAGC
rnacentral:rRNA from 1 species